GCCCUAGUAACGGCGAGUGAAGCGGCAACAGCUCAAAUUUGAAAUCUGGCCCUCUUUGGGGGUCCGAGUUGUAAUUUGCAGAGGGUGCUUUGGUGUUGACAGCGGUCUAAGUUCCUUGGAACAGGACGUCACAGAGGGUGAGAAUCCCGUACGUGGCCGCUUGCCUCCGCCGUGUAAAGCCCCUUCGACGAGUCGAGUUGUUUGGGAAUGCAGCUCUAAAUGGGAGGUAAAUUUCUUCUAAAGCUAAAUACUGGCCAGAGACCGAUAGCGCACAAGUAGAGUGAUCGAAAGAUGAAAAGCACUUUGGAAAGAGAGUCAAACAGCACGUGAAAUUGUUGAAAGGGAAGCGCUUGCAGCCAGACUUGCCCGUAGUUGCUCACCCGGACUUUUGCCCGGGGCACUCUUCUGCGGGCAGGCCAGCAUCAGUUUGGGCGACCGGAUAACGGCCUCUGUCAUGUAUCUUCCUCCGGGAUGACCUUAUAGGGGAGGCGUAAUGCGGCCAGCCUGGACUGAGGUCCGCGCUUCGGCUAGGAUGCUGGCGUAAUGGCUGUAAGCGGCCCGUCUUGAAACACGGACCAAGGAGUCUAACAUCUAUGCGAGUGUUUGGGUGUCAAGCCCGGGCGCGUAAUGAAAGUGAACGGAGGUGGGAACCCUUUCGGGGGCGCACCAUCGACCGAUCCUGAUGUCUUCGGAUGGAUUUGAGUAAGAGCAUAGCUGUUGGGACCCGAAAGAUGGUGAACUAUGCUUGAAUAGGGUGAAGCCAGAGGAAACUCUGGUGGAGGCUCGCAGCGGUUCUGACGUGCAAAUCGAUCGUC
rnacentral:rRNA from 1 species